GAUGAAGAGCUCAGCGAAAUGCGAUACGUAAUGUGAAUUGCAGAAUUCAGUGAAUCAUCGAGUCUUUGAACGCACAUUGCGCCCCCUGGUAUUCCGGGGGGCAUGCCUGUCCGAGCGUCAUUGCUGCCCUCAAGCACGGCUUGUGUGUUGGGCCUCCGUCCUCCUCCCGGGGGACGGGCCCGAAAGGCAGCGGCGGCACCGCGUCCGGUCCUCGAGCGUAUGGGGCUUCGUCACCCGCUCUUGUAGGCCCGGCCGGCGCUUGCCGACACAUCAAUCUUUUUUCCAGGUUGACCUCGGAUCAGGUAGGGAUACCCGCUGAACUUAAGCAUAUCAAUAAGCGGAGGA
rnacentral:misc_RNA from 1 species